rnacentral:rRNA from 1 species
CUAUCAUUGGUGUUACAGCAGCAAAGGUUACCGACAUAAUCACCGGCAGACGGAUCCCCAUCUGAUACUGGCAAGCUUGAGUCUCGUAGAGGGGGGUAGAAUUCCAGGUGUAGCGGUGAAAUGCGUAGAGAUCUGGAGGAAUACCGGUGGCGAAGGCGGCCCCCUGGACGAAGACUGACGCUCAGGUGCGAAAGCGUGGGGAGCAAACAGGAUUAGAUACCCUGGUAGUCCACGCCGUAAACGAUGUCGACUUGGAGGUUGUGCCCUUGAGGCGUGGCUUCCGGAGCUAACGCGUUAAGUCGACCGCCUGGGGAGUACGGCCGCAAGGUUAAAACUCAAAUGAAUUGACGGGGGCCCGCACAAGCGGUGGAGCAUGUGGUUUAAUUCGAUGCAACGCGAAGAACCUUACCUGGUCUUGACAUCCACGGAAGUUUUCAGAGAUGAGAAUGUGCCUUCGGGAACCGUGAGACAGGUGCUGCAUGGCUGUCGUCAGCUCGUGUUGUGAAAUGUUGGGUUAAGUCCCGCAACGAGCGCAACCCUUAUCCUUUGUUGCCAGCGGUCCGGCCGGGAACUCAAAGGAGACUGCCAGUGAUAAACUGGAGGAAGGUGGGGAUGACGUCAAGUCAUCAUGGCCCUUACGACCAGGGCUACACACGUGCUACAAUGGCGCAUACAAAGAGAAGCGACCUCGCGAGAGCAAGCGGACCUCAUAAAGUGCGUCGUAGUCCGGAUUGGAGUCUGCAACUCGACUCCAUGAAGUCGGAAUCGCUAGUAAUCGUGGAUCAGAAUGCCACGGUGAAUACGUUCCCGGGCCUUGUACACACCGCCCGUCACACCAUGGGAGUGGGUUGCAAAAGAAGUAGGUAGCUUAACCUUCGGGAGGGCGCUUACCACUUUGUGAUUCAUGACUGGGGUGAAGUCGUAACAAGGUAACCGUAGGGGAACCUGCGGUUGGAUCACCUCCUUA